UGCCGCCUCACGUGCAACACGUGCGAGCCGUAGAAGAAGAACCAAAAGGCGCAGGGCUCCAUCCUCGGCUCUUCGCUUACCUACGAUACCGGAAAUGGACGAUGAUGAUGACAGCGGAGAGCUAGAGGAUCACUAUGACGAUUCAUCAGACUUUGAAUAUGAGAGUGACACUUCCCCAAGUUGUAAGU